ACCUUAUUCAAGUUUCAACACAUGCUUUAUAAGGAUAGGUUUGGUUUGCCCUUAAAUGAUUCAAAUGAGAUGGAUUUUAACUAAUUAAUCAAUUAACUUGAUUUGAUUGUACUAAUGAACUUCUUCCCUUAUGUAUAUAAGCUGCCUAAUCUCAAAUGCUACUGUUGAAGUUUGAAAAAGCCCUAUGGUGAAAGCGCUUACUGUUUGCUAGCUCAAAUAAAUAUUUUGUUUGGAUUAUAUGUCGUUGUGCGUGGUUACUGGACUGGAAAAGUGUGAACUUUUGUUUCUACUGGGUUGAAUAACCUUUCAGUGCCUUUGGAACGCUAUUUUUAUUGAGUUGAAUAACUCUUUUGUGUGCCUUUGGAAACGUCAUUUUACUGAGGUCAUUUUGCUCCAGUUUGUUGUCUUAUUAUAAAUUAUUGUUAUUGCUUCAGAUGUAAGCAUGGUGUAUUUUGUGAUCAAUUUGUCCCUAGAAGACUGUUAGCUGAAGCUGAAGUGCUGGGAGGUUUUUGUUCAGGAAGAAAAACUGGUUCAUGUCCUGCUGAGCUGAAUUUGCUGAGAUGAAUCUUCAUUCACUGGAACUUGAUGAAGCCUAAAGAAAAAAUGCCAAGGAACAUAACCAGAAUCUCUGUUUUCCACAGGAAACCCUUGCUAGUGAGUCUUCUAACUGUGUGCCAACAAUUAUUCACUUCUCUGAGGAGAUUCCUCCUUUCUUUCUUUGAGCUGGAUUUUGGAAAUCGAGCUUCAUUGCAGAGCUUCCCUAAACUUUUUAGGAAAUAAAUAAAUACAAACAGCAAACAGGACUGUACUGGCAAUGUGUCUUGUUUCAAAAUAAAUCAUAUUUGUA